AUGAAUUGUACUGAUAGGACAAAGUAUUGCCUGGAGGGCUUGACUCUUGGUGGCUGACUUCAUGUCUCUCCCACGAAUUGUACUGAUAGCUGAGAAUAUUUCCUGGAUUGAUUCUCUCUUGGUGGCUGACUUCAUGUCUCUGCCAUGAAUUGUACGGAUAGGACAGAAUAUUACCUUGAGGGAUUGUCUCUUGGCGGCUGACUUCAUGUCUCUGCCAAGUAUUUCUGUGAAAUAAAUGUUAGAAAAAUCGAGUGUGUUUAGUACAUUCUUCUCCGAGACCUGACGAAGAAAAGACGGCAAGACACGGCUGUGACAUCUCUGACAUCUGCCAGCGUUGCAACCCGAUUGUGAAGGCCUGCUGACCAAGAACUACAAUGGGAGAGCUUUGUUCAGAUUGAAGAAAAGAGAUCAGGAAGAAACCUAAUACAGGACAUCUGUGGAAGACAGAGAGGAAAAAAAGGAUCAUCACGGGAGAAGAAAAUGGAAGAAGAUGAAUAAGAAGAUGUGCUGCAAAGAGAAGGGGAAAAAGGACAGUGACGUAAAAACUUGAUUGGGGACUAAGUUUUCUUGAAGUGCUCAGUUUCUGGUGGCGGACUUCAUGUCUAUGCCAUGAAUAAUACUGAUAGGACAGAAUAUAUCCUUGAGUAUUUUUCUCUUGGUGGCUGACUUCAUGUCUCUGCCAUGAAUUGUACUGAUAGGACAGAAUAUUUCCUGGAUUGCUUCUCUCUUGGUGGCUGGCUUCAUGUCUCUGCCAUGAAUUGUAGGGAUAGGACAGAAUAUUUCCUGGAGGGCUUGUCUCUUGGUGGCUGACUUCAUGUCUCUGCCAUGAAUUGUACGGAUAGGACAGAUUAUUGCCUGGAGGGAUUAUCUCUUGGUGGCUGACUUCAUGUCUCUGCCAUGAAUUGUACGGAUAGGACAGAUUAUUGCCUGGAGGUAUUAUAUCUUGGUGGCUGACUUCAUGUCUCUGUCAUGAAUUGUACUGAUAGCUCAGAAUAUUUUCUGGAGGUCUUGUCUCUUGGUUGCUGACUUCAUGUCUCUGCCACGAUUUGUACUGAUAGGAAAGAAUAUUUCCUGGAGGGCUUAUCUCUUGGUGGCUGACGUCAUGUCACUGCCACGAUUUGUACUGAUAGGAAGGAAAAUUUCCUGGAUUGCUUCUCUCUUGAUGGCUGACUUCAUGUCUCUGCCAUGAAUUGUACUGAUAGCUCAGAAUAUUUUCUGGAGGUCUUGUCUCUUGGUUGCUGACUUCAUGUCUCUGCCACGAUUUGUACUGAUAGGAAAGAAUAUUUCCUGGACUAUUUUUCUCUUGGUGGCUGACUUCAUGUCUCUGCCACGAUUUGUAUUGAUAGGAAAGAAUAUUUCCUGCACUAUUUUUCUCUUGGUGGUUGACUUCAUGUCUCUGCCAUGAAUUGUACUGAUAGGAAAGAAUAUUUCCUGGAUUGCUUCUCUCUUGAUGGCUGACUUCAUGUCUCUGCCAUGAAUUGUACUGAUAGGACAGAGUAUUGCCUGGAGGGCUUGACUCUUGGUGGCUGACUUCAUGUCUCUCCCACGAAUUGUACUGAUAGCUGAGAAUAUUUCCUGGAUUGAUUCUCUCUUGGUGGCUGACUUCAUUUCUCUGCCAUGAAUUGUACGGAUAGGACAGAAUAUUGCCUUGAGGGAUUGUCUCUUGGCGGCUGACUUCAUGUCUCUGCCAAGUAUUUCUGUGAAAUAAAUGUUAGAAAAAUCGAGUGUGUUUAGUACAUUCUUCUCAGAGACCUGACGAAGAAAAGACGGCAAGACACGGCUGUGACAUCUCUGACAUCUGCCAGCGUUGCAACCCUAUUGCGAAGGCCUGCUGACCAAGAACUACAAUGGGAGAGCUUUGUUCAGAUUGAAGAAAAGAGAUCAGGAAGAAACCUAAUACAGGACAUCUGUGGAAGACAGAGAGGAAAAAAAGGAUCAUAACGGGAGAAGAAAAUGGAAGAAGAUGAAUAAGAAGAUGUGCUGCAAAGAGAAGGGGAAAAAGGACAGUGACGUAAAAACUUGAUUGGGGACUAAGUUUUCUUGAAGUGCUCAGUUUCUGGUGGCGGACUUCAUGUCUAUGCCAUGAAUAAUACUGAUAGGACAGAAUAUAUCCUUGCGUAUUUUUCUCUUGGUGGCUGACUUCAUGUCUCUGCCAUGAAUUGUACUGAUAGGACAGAAUAUUUCCUGGAGGGCUUGUCUCUUGGUGGCUGACUUCAUGUCUCUGCCACAAUUUGUACUGAUAGGAAAGAAUAUUUCCUGGAUUGCUUCUCUCUUGGUGGUUGACUUCAUGUCUCUGCCCGGAAUUGUACGGAUGGGAAAGAAUAUGUCCUGAAUUGCUUCUCUCUUGGUGGUUGACUUCAUGUCUCUGCCAUGAAUUGUACGGAUAGGACAGAUUAUUGCCUGUAGGGAUUAUCUCUUGGUGGCUGACUUCAUGUCUCUGCCAUGAAUUGUACUGAUAGGAAAGAAUAUUUCCUGGAUUGCUUCUCUCUUGAUGGCUGACUUCAUGUCUCUGCCAUGAAUUGUACUGAUAGGACAGAGUAUUGCCUGGAGGGCUUGACUCUUGGUGGCUGACUUCAUGUCUCUCCCACGAAUUGUACUGAUAGCUGAGAAUAUUUCCUGGAUUGAUUCUCUCUUGGUGGCUGACUUCAUGUCUCUGCCAUGAAUUGUACGGAUAGGACAGAAUAUUGCCUUGAGGGAUUGUCUCUUGGCGGCUGACUUCAUGUCUCUGCCAAGUAUUUCUGUGAAAUAAAUGUUAGAAAAAUAGAGUGUGUUUAGUACAUUCUUCUCCGAGACCUGACGAAGAAAAGACGGCAAGACACGGCUGUGACAUCUCUGACAUCUGCCAGCGUUUCAACCCGAUUGUGAAGGCCUGCUGACCAAGAACUACAAUGGGAGAGCUUUGUUCAGAUUGAAGAAAAGAGAUCAGGAAGAAACCUAAUACAGGACAUCUGUGGAAGACAGAGAGGAAAAAAAGGAUCAUCACGGGAGAAGAAAAUGGAAGAAGAUGAAUAAGAAGAUGUGCUGCAAAGAGAAGGGGAAAAAGGACAGUGACGUAAAGAAGUGAUUGGGGACUAAGUUUUCUUGAAGUGCUCAGUUUCUGGUGGCUGACUUCAUGUCUAUGACAUGAAUAAUAGUGAUAGGACAGAAUAUAUCCUGGAAUAUUUUUCUCUUGGUGGCUGACUUCAUGUCUCUGCCACGAUUUGUACUGAUAGGAUAGAAUAUUUCCUGGAUUGCUUCUCUCUUGGUGGCUGACUUCAUGUCUCUGCCAUGAAUUGUAUUGAUAGGAAAAAAUAUUGCCUGGAGGGAUUAUAUCUUGGUGGCUGACUUCAUGUCUCUGCCAUGAAUUGAACUGAUAGGAAAGAAUAUUUCCUGGAGGACUUCUCUCUUGGUGGCUGACUUCAUGUCUCUGCCAUGAAUACUAUGGAUAGGACAGAAUAUUUCCUGGAUGUCUUGUCUCUUGGUGGCUGACUUCAUGUCUCUGCCACGAUUUGUAGUGAUAGGACAGAAUAUUUCCUGGAGGGCUUGUCUCUUGGUGGCUGACUUCAUGUCUCUGCCACGAUUUGUACUGAUAGGAAAGAAUAUUUCCUGGACUAUUUUUCUCUUGGUGGCUGACUUCAUGUCUCUGCCAUGAAUACUAUGGAUAGGAAAGAAUAUUUCCUGGAUGUCUUGUCUCUUGGUGGCUGACUUCAUGUCUCUGCCACGAUUUGUAGUGAUAGGAAAGAAUAUUUCCUGGAUUGCUUCUCUCUUGGUGGCUUGCUUCAUGGCUCUGCCAUGAAUUGUAGGGAUAGGACAGAAUAUUUCCUGGAGGGCUUGUCUCUUGGUGGCUGACUUCAUGUCUCUGCCACGAAUUGUACGGAUUGGACAGAAUAUUUCCUGGAGGGCUUCUCUCUUGGUGGCUGACUUCAUGUCUCUGCCAUGAAUUGUACUGAUAGCUCAGAAUAUUUUCUGGAGGUCUUGUCUCUUCGUUGCUGACUUCAUGUCUCUGCCACGAUUUGUAGUGAUAGGACAGAAUAUUUCCUGGAGGGCUUGUCUCUUGGUGGCUGACUUCAUGUCUCUGCCACGAUUUGUACUGAUAGGAAAGAAUAUUUCCUGGACUAUUUUUCUCUUGGUGGCUGACUUCAUGUCUCUGCCACGAUUUGUACUGAUAGGAAAGAAUAUUUUCUGGACUAUUUUUCUCUUGGUGGCUGACUUCAUGCCUCUGCCAUGAAUACUAUGGAUAGGAAAGAAUAUUUCCUGGAUGUCUUGUCUCUUGGUGGCUGACUUCAUGUCUCUGCCACGAUUUUUAUUGAUAGGAAAGAAUAUGUCCUGAAUUGCUUCUCUCUUGGUGGCUGACUUCAUGUCUCUGCCAUGAAUUGUACGGAUAGGACAGAUUAUUGCCUGGAGGGAUUAUCUCUUGGUGGCUGACUUCAUGUCUCUGCCAUGAAUUGUACUGAAAGGAAAGAAUAUUUCCUGGAUUGCUUCUCUCUUGAUGGCUGACUUCAUGUCUCUGCCAUGAAUUGUAGGGAUAGGACAGAAUAUUGCCUUGAGGGAUUGUCUCUUGGCGGCUGACUUCAUGUCUCUGCCAAGUAUUUCUGUGAAAUAAAUGUUAGAAAAAUCGAGUGUGUUUAGUACAUUCUUCUCCGAGACCUGACGAAGAAAAGACGGCAAGACACAGCUGUGACAUCUCUGACAUCUGCCAGCGUUGCAACCCGAUUGCGAAGGCCUGCUGACCAAGAACUACAAUGGGAGAGCUCUGUUCAGAUUGAAGAAAAGAGAUCAUGAAGAAACCUAAUACAAGACAUCCGUGCAAGACAGAGAGGAAAAAAAGGAUCAUCACGGGAGAAGAAAAUGGAAGAAGAUGAAUAAGAAGAUGUGCUGCAAAGAGAAGGGGGAAAAGGACAGUGACGUAAAGAAGUGAUUGGGGACUAAGUUUUCUUGAAGUGCUCAGUUUCUGGUGGCUGACUUCAUGUCUAUGACAUGAAUAAUAGUGAUAGGACAGAAUAUAUCCUGGAAUAUUUUUCUCUUGGUGGCUGACUUCAUGUCUCUGCCACAAAUUGUACUGAUUGGAAAGAAUAUUUCCUGGAAUGCUUCUCUCUUGGUGGCUGACUUCAUGUCUCUGCCAUGACUUGUACUGAUAGGAAAGAAUAUUUCCUGGACUAUUUUUCUCUUGGUGGCUGAUUUCAUGUCUCUGCCACGAUUUGUAGUGAUAGGAAAGAAUAUUUCCUGGAUUGCUUCUCUCUUGGUAGUUGACUUCAUGUCUCUGCCAUGAAUUGUACGGAUUGGACAGAUUAUUGCCUGGAGGGAUUAUCUCAUGGUGGCUGACUUCAUGUCUCUGCCAUGAAUUGUACUGAUAGGAAAGAAUAUUUCCUGGAGGGCUUCUCUCUUGGUGGCUGACUUCAUGUCUCUGCCAUGAAUUGUACUGAUAGCUCAGAUAUUUUCUGGAUGUCUUGUCUCUUGGUGGCUGACUUCAUGUCUCUGCCAUGAAUACUAUGGAUAGGACAAAAUAUUUCCUGGAUGUCUUGUCUCUUGGUGGCUGACUUCAUGUCUCUGCCAUGAUUUGUACUGAUAGGAAAGAAUAUUUCCUGGACUAUUUUUCUCUUGGUGGCUGACUUCAUGUCUAUGCCACGAUUUGUACUGAUAGGAAAGAAUAUUUCCUGGACUAUUUUUCUCUUGGUGGCUGACUUCAUGUCUCUGCCACGAUUUGUAGUGAUAGGAAAGAAUAUUUCCUGGAUUGCUUCUCUCUUGUUAGUUGACUUCAUGUCUCUGCCAUGAAUUGUACGGAUUGGACAGAUUAUUGCCUGGAGGGAUUAUCUCUUGGUGGCUGACUUCAUGUCUCUGCCAUGAAUUGUACUGAUAGGAAAGAAUAUUUCCUGGAUUGCUUCUCUCUUGAUGGCUGACUUCAUGUCUCUGCCAUGAAUUGUACUGAUAGGACAGAGUAUUGCCUGGAGGGCUUGACUCUUGGUGGCUGACUUCAUGUCUCUCCCACGAAUUGUACUGAUAGCUGAGAAUAUUUCCUGGAUUGAUUCGCUCUUGGCGGCUGACUUCAUGUCUCUGCCAAGUAUUUCUGUGAAAUAAAUGUUAGAAAAAUUGAGUGUGUUUAGUACAUUCUUCUCCGAUACCUGACGAAGAAAAGACGGCAAGACACAGCUGUGACAUCUCUGACAUCUGCCAGCGUUGCAACCCGAUUGCGAAGGCCUGCUGACCAAGAACUACAAUGGGAGAGCUUUGUUCAGAUUGAAGAAAAGAGAACAGGAAGAAACCUAAUACAGGACAUCUGUGGAAGACAGAGAGGAAAAAAAGGAUCAUCACGGGAGAAGAAAAUGGAAGAAGAUGAAUAAGAAGAUGUGCUGCAAAGAGAAGGGGAAAAAGGAGAGUGACGUAAAAACUUGAUUGGGGACUAAGUUUUCUUGAAGUGCUCAGUUUCUGGUGGCUGACUUCAUGUCUAUGACAUGAAUAAUAGUGAUAGGACAGAAUAUAUCCUGGAAUAUUUUUCUCUUGGUGGCUGACUUCAUGUCUCUGCCAUGAAUUGUAAUGAUAGGAAAGAAUAUUGCCUGGAGGGAUUAUAUCUUGGUGGCUGACUUCAUGUCUCUGCCAUGAAUUGAACUGAUAAGACAGAAUAUUUCCUGGAGGGCUUAUCUCUUGGUGGCUGACUUCAUGUCUCUGCCACGAUUUGUACUGAUAGGAAAGAAUAUUUCCUGGACUAUUUUUCUCUUGGUGGCUGACUUCAUGUCUCUGCCAUGAAUACUAUGGAUAGGAAAGAAUAUUUCCUGGAUGUCUUGUCUCUUGGUGGCUGAUUUCAUGUCUCUGCCACGAUUUGUAGUGAUAGGAAAGAAUAUUUCCUGGAUUGCUUCUCUCUUGGUGGCUGGCUUCAUGUCUCUGCCAUGAAUUGUAGGGAUAGGACAGAAUAUUUCCUGGAGGGCUUGUCUCUUGGUGGCUGACUUCAUGUCUCUUGCACGAAUUGUACGGAUUGUACAGAAUAUUUCCUGGAGGGCUUCUCUCUUGGUGGUUUACUUCAUGUCUCUGUCAUGAAUUGUACUGAUAGCUCAGAAUAUUUUCUGGAGGUCUUGUCUCUUGGUUCCUGACUUCAUGUCUCUGCCACGAUUUGUAGUGAUAGGACAGAAUAUUUCCUGGAGGGCUUGUCUCUUGGUGGCUGACUUCAUGUCUCUGCCACGAUUUGUACUGAUAGGAAAGAAUAUUUCCUGGACUAUUUUUCUCUUGGUGGCUGACUUCAUGUCUCUGCCAUGAUUUGUACUGAAAGGAAAGAAUAUUUCCUGGACUAUUUUUCUCUUGGUGGCUGACUUCAUGUCUCUGCCAUGAAUACUAUGGAUAGGAAAGAAUAUUUCCUGGAUUUUUUUGUCUCUUGGUGGCUGACUUCAUGUCUCUGCCACGAUUUGUAGUGAUAGGAAAGAAUAUGUCCUGGUUUGCUUCUCUCUUGAUGGCUGACUUAAUGUCUCUGCCAUGAAUUGUACUGAUAGCUGAGAAUAUUUCCUGGAUUGAUUCGCUCUUGGCGGCUGACUUCAUGUCUCUGCCAUGAAUACUAUGGAUAGGACAGAAUAUUUCCUGGAUGUCUUGUCUCUUGGUUGCUGACUUCAUGUCUCUGCCACGAUUUGUAGUGAUACGAUAGAAUAUUUCCUGGAUUGCUUCUCUCUUGGUGGCUGACUUCAUGUCUCUGCCACGAUUUGUACUGAUAGGAAAGAAUAUUUCCUGGAUUGCUUCUCUCUUGAUGGCUGACUUCAUGUCUCUGCCAUGAAUUGUACUGAUAGGACAGAGUAUUGCCUGGAGGGCUUGACUCUUGGUGGCUGACUUCAUGUCUCUCCCACGAAUUGUACUGAUAGCUGAGAAUAUUUCCUGGAUUGAUUCUCUCUUGGUGGCUGACUUCAUGUCUCUGCCAUGAAUUGUACGGAUAGGACAGAAUAUUACCUUGAGGGAUUGUCUCUUGGCGGCUGACUUCAUGUCUCUGCCAAGUAUUUCUGUGAAAUACAUGUUAGAAAAAUCGAGUGUGUUUAGUACAUUCUUCUCCGAGACCUGACGAAGAAAAGACGGCAAGACACAGCUGUGACAUCUCUGACAUCAGCCAGUGUUGCAACCCGAUUGCGAAGGCCUGCUGACCAAGAACUACAAUGGGAGAGCUCUGUUCAGAUUGAAGAAAAGAGAUCAGGAAGAAACCUAAUACUGGACACGUGUGGAAGACAGAGAGGAAAAAAAGGAUCAUCACGGGAGAAGAAAAUGGAAGAAGAUGAAUAAGAAGAUGUGCUGCAAAGAGAAGGGGAAAAAGGACAGUGAGGUAAAAAAGUGAUUGGGGACUAAGUUUUCUUGAAGUGCUCAGUUUCUGGUGACUGACUUCAUGUCUAUGCCAUGAAUAAUAGUGAUAGGACAGAAUAUAUCCUGGAGUAUUUUUCUCUUGGUGGCUGACUUCAUGUCUCUGCCAUGAAUUGUAUUGAUAGCUCAGAAUAUGUCCUGGAUGUCUUGUCUCUUGGUGGCUGACUUCAUGUCUCUGCCAUGAAUUGUAGGGAUAGGACAGAAUAUUUCCUGGAGGGAUUGUCUCUUGGUGGCUGACUUCAUGUCUAUGCCACGAUUUGUACUUAUAGGAAAGAAUAUUUCCUGGAUUGCUUCUCUCUUGGUGGUUGACUUGAUGUCUCUGCCAUGAAUUCUACUGAUAGGAAAGAGUAUUGCCUGGAGGGCUUGACUCGUUGUGGCUGACUUCAUGUCUCUGCCACGAAUUGUACUGAUAGCUCAGAAUAUUUUCUGGAGGUCUUGUCUCUUGGUGGCUGACUUCAUGUCUCUGCCAUGAAUACUAUGGAUAGGACAGAAUAUUUCCUGGAUGUCUUGUCUCUUGGUUGCUGACUUCAUGUCUCUGCCAUGACUUGUACUGAUAGGAAAGAAUAUUUCCUGGACUAUUUUUCUCUUGGUGGCUGACUUCAUGUCUCUGCCACGAUUUGUACUGAUAGGAUAGAAUAUUUCCUGGAUUGUUUCUCCCUUGGCGGCUGACUUCAUGUCUCUGCCAUGAAUUGUAUUGAAAGGAAUGAAUAUUUCCUGUUCUAUUUUUCUCUUGGUGGCUGACUUCAUGUCUCUGCCAUGAAUUGUAGUGAUAGGAAAGAAUAUUUCCUGGAGGGCUUCUCUCUUGGUGGCUGACUUCAUGUCUCUGCCAUGAAUUGUACUGAUAGCUCAGAUAUUUUCUGGAGGUCUUGUCUCUUGGUGGCUGACUUCAUGUCUCUGCCACGAUUUGUAGUGAUAGGACAGAAUAUUUCCUGGAGGGCUUGUCUCUUGGUGGCUGACUUCAUGUCUCUGCCACGAUUUGUACUGAUAGGAAAGAAUAUUUCCUGGACUAUUUUUCUCUUGGUGGCUGACUUCAUGUCUCUGCCACGAUUUGUACUGAUAGGAAACAAUAUUUCCUGGAAUAUUUUUCUCUUGGUGGCUGACUUCAUGUCUCUGCCAUGAAUACUAUGGAUAGGAAAGAAUAUUUCCUGGAUGUCUUGUCUCUUGGUGGCUGACUUCAUGUCUCUGCCACGAUUUGUAGUGAUAGGAAAGAAUAUUUCCUGGAUUGCUUCUCUCUUGAUGGCUGACUUCAUGUCUCUGCCAUGAAUUGUACUGAUAGGACAGAGUAUUGCCUGGAGGGCUUGACUCUUGGUGGCUGACUUCAUGUCUCUCCCACGAAUUGUACUGAUAGCUGAGAAUAUUUCCUGGAUUGAUUCUCUCUUGGUGGCUGACUUCAUGUCUCUGCCAUGAAUUGUACGGAUAGGACAGAAUAUUGCCUUGAGGGAUUGUCUCUUGGCGGCUGACUUCAUGUCUCUGCCAAGUAUUUCUGUGAAAUAAAUGUUAGAAAAAUCGAGUGUGUUUAGUACAUUCUUCUCCGAGACCUGACGAAGAAAAGACGGCAAGACACAGCUGUGACAUCUCUGACAUCUGCCAGCGUUGUAACCCGAUUGCGAAGGCCUGCUGACCAAGAACUACAAUGGGAGAGCUUUGUUCAGAUUGAAGAAAAGAGAACAGGAAGAAACCUAAUACAGGACAUCUGUGGAAGAAAGAGAGGAAAAAAAAAAUCAUCACGGGAGAAGAAAAUGGAAGAAGAUGAAUAAGAAGAUGUGCUGCAAAGAGAAGGGGAAAAAGGACAGUGACGUAAAGAAGUGAUUGGGGACUAAGUUUUCUUGAAGUGCUCAGUUUCUGGUGGCUGACUUCAUGUCUAUGACAUGAAUAAUAGUGAUAGGACAGAAUAUAUCCUGGAAUAUUUUUCUCUUGGUGGCUGACUUCAUGUCUCUGCCAUGAAUUGUACUGAUAGGAAAGAAUAUUGCCUGGAGGGAUUAUAUCUUGGUGGCUGACUUCAUGUCUCUGCCAUGAAUUGAACUGAUAAGACAGAAUAUUUCCUGGAGGGCUUAUCUCUUGGUGGCUGACUUCAUGUCUCUGCCACGAUUUGUACUUAUAGGAAAGAAUAUUUCCUGGAUUGCUUCUCUCUUGAUGGCUGACUUCAUGUCUCUGCCACGAAUUGUACGGAUUGGACAGAAUAUUUCCUGGAGGGCUUCUCUCUUGGUGGCUGAAUUCAUGUCUCUGCCAUGAAUUGUACUGAUAGCUCAGAUAUUUUCUGGAGGUCUUGUCUCUUGGUGGCUGACUUCAUGUCUCUGCCAUGAAUACUAUGGAUAGGACAGAAUAUUUCCUGGAUGUCUUGUCUCUUGGUGGCUGACUUCAUGUCUCUGCCACGAUUUGUAGUGAUAGGACAGAAUAUUUCCUGGAGGGCUUGUCUCUUGGUGGCUGACUUCAUGUCUCUGCCACGAUUUGUACUGAUAGGAAAGAAUAUUUCCUGGACUAUUUUUCUCUUGGUGGCUGACUUCAUGUCACUGCCACGAUUUGUACUGAUAGGAAAGAAUAUUUCCUGGACUAUUUUUCUCUUGGUGGCUGACUUCAUGUCUCUGCCAUGAAUACUAUGGAUAGGAAAGAAUAUUUCCUGGAUGUCUUGUCUCUUGGUGGCUGACUUCAUGUCUCUGCCACGAUUUGUAGUGAUAGGAAAGAAUAUUUCCUGGAUUGCUUCUCUCUUGGUGGCUGGCUUCAUGUCUCUGCCAUGAAUUGUAGGGAUAGGACAGAGUAUUGCCUGGAGGGCUUGACUCUUGGUGGCUGACUUCAUGUCUCUCCCACGAAUUGUACUGAUAGCUGAGAAUAUUUCCUGGAUUGAUUCUCUCUUGGUGGCUGACUUCAUGUCUCUGCCAUGAAUUGUACGGAUAGGACAGAAUAUUGCCUUGAGGGAUUGUCUCUUGGCGGCUGACUUCAUGUCUCUGCCAAGUAUUUCUGUGAAAUAAAUGUUAGAAAAAUCGAGUGUGUUUAGUACAUUCUUCUCCGAGACCUGACGAAGAAAAGACGGCAAGACACAGCUGUGACAUCUCUGACAUCUGCCAGCAUUGCAACCCGAUUGCGAAGGCCUGCUGACCAAGAACUACAAUGGGAGAGCUCUGUUCAGAUUGAAGAAAAGAGAUCAUGAAGAAACCUAAUACUGGACACCUGUGGAAGACAGAGAGGAAAAAAAGGAUCAUCACUGGAGAAGAAAAUGGAAGAAGAUCAAUAAGAAGAUGUGCUGCAAAGAGAAGGGGAAAAAGGACAGUGACGUAAAGAAGUGAUUGGGGACUAAGUUUUCUUGAAGUGCUCAGUUUCUGGUGGCUGACUUAAUGUCUAUGCCAUGAAUAAUACGGAUAGGACAGAAUAUAUCCUGGAGUAUUUUUCUCUUGGUGGCUGACUUCAUGUCUCUGCCAUGAAUUGUACUGAUAGCUCAGAAUAUUUCCUGGAUGUCUUGUCUCUUGGUGGCUGACUUCAUGUCUCUGCCAUGAAUACUAUGGAUAGGAAAGAAUAUUUCCUGGAUUGCUUCUCUCUUGGUGGUUGACUUCAUGUUUCUGCCAUGAAUUGUACGGAUAGGACAGAUUAUUGCCUGGAGGGAUUGUCUCUUGGUGGCUGACUUCAUGUCUCUGCCAUGAAUUGAACUGAUAAAACAGAAUAUUUCCUGGAGGGCUUAUCUCUUGGUGGCUGACUUCAUGUCUCUUCCACGAUUUGUACGGAUAGGAAAGAAUAUUUCCUGGAUUGCUUCUCUCUUGGUGGCUGGCUUCAUGUCUCUGCCAUGAAUUGAACUGAUAAAACAGAAUAUUUCCUGGAGGGCUUAUCUCUUGGUGGCUGACUUCAUGUCUCUGCCACGAUUUGUACGGAUAGGAAAAAAUAUUUCCUGGAUUGCUUCUCUCUUGAUGGCUGACUUUAUGUCUCUGCCAUGAAUUGUACUGUUUGGACACAGUAUUGCCUGGAGGGCUUGACUCUUGGUGGCUGACUUCAUGUCUCUCCCACGAAUUGUACGGAUAGGACAGAUUAUUGCCAUGAGAGAUUGUCUCUUGGCGGCUGACUUCAUGUCUCUGCCACGAUCUGUACUGAUAGGCAAGAAUAUUUCCUGGAUUGAUUCGCUCUUGGCGGCUGACUUCAUGUCUCUGCCAUGUAUUUCUGUGAAAUACAUGUUAGAAAAAUCGAGUGUGUUUAGUACAUUCUUCUCCGAGACCUGACGAAGAAAAGACGGCAAGACACAGCUGAGACAUCUCUGACAUCUGCCAGCGUUGCAACCCGAUUGCGAAGGCCUGCUGACCAAGAACUACAAUGGGAGAGCUCUGUUCGGAUUGAAGAAAAGAGAUCAGGAAGAAACCUAAUACAGGACAUCUGUGGAAGACAGAGAGGAAAAAAAGGAUCAUCACGGGAGAAGAAAAUGGAAGAAGAUGAAUAAGAAGAUGUGCUGCAAAGAGAAGGGGAAAAAGGAGAGUGACGUAAAGAAGUGAUUGGGGACUAAGUUUUCUUGAAGUGCUCAGUUUCUGGUGACUGACUUCAUGUCUAUGACAUGAAUAAUAGUGAUAGGACAGAAUAUAUCCUGGAGUAUUUUUCUCUUGGUGGCUGACUUCAUGUCUCUGCCAUGAAUUGUACUGAUAGCUCAGAAUAUUUCCUGGAUGUCUUGUCUCUUGGUGGCCUACUUCAUGUCUCUGCAAUGAAUUCAACUGAAGGGACCUUAAAUUUCCUUGAGAGCUCCCUUUUUGGUGGCUGAGUUUAUAUCUUUACUAUUUAUUGAACUGUUUGGUCAUGAAAUCUGUUGAAGUGCUCCUUUUUUUAUUCUUGACUUCAUUUCUAUUCCUUGUAUUACUGUGAUUAACAUUUAACAUUUUUAGAGACAGAAAGAUCUUCUUUCAGGGACAUUUGGAAGAAAUUUCAGAAAGAAGAUAUAUUAAAGACACAAAGAAAGAAAAGGAUUAUCAUGGGCCUGAUAUCUGGAGACCUUGAGGAGAAGAUCUGCUCCAAAGAAUCAGAAGUGAAGCACAGUGAUAUAAUCAAUAGAAUGUUUACUAAAUUUGCUCAAAUGUUCCUUUUUUGGUAGCUGACUUCAUGUCUCUGCCAUUUUUUGCACUGAUUGGAGGGAAAGGAGGUCUGAUAGGUGAAUGCCAUUUCUGACAGCUGAAUGACCUGAUAUGUUGUGAAGGUCCUCCGGCUGGGUGAGGAUACCCCAUGAUAUGACUCUGAUCAG